ACUUGUGGUCUUGGAAGUUAGUGCAGGAAAUGCUGCAGCAGAAUAAAUAUCUGGCAGAUGAAUCCUACAUGCCCUCUGGCCAAUUUCAAAGUAUAACCUGAGAUUUUGCAAGGUGAGUUUUACAUUGUAAAGUGAACGAAGGAGCCUGAAUUUAAAGUGGCUCCGUUUUCAUGUAAUACUUUAUUACGCCUCCAGGGGAAAAAUGAAAACCAUAUUGAGAAAAUUAUAUUUUACAUUUGCUAAUCUUUUAUUGUGCCUCAAGCUGAUGCAAAUCACAGGUGCUUGUUCAGACAAAGGCCCUGUGCUUAUUGUGGUAACCUACACGUCAUAGUAUAGAUGCCACGCUAUUGUAAGUCAGCCUCUUCCAUAAAUCUAAGCUCAGUGCCUUGCCGGUAAUUCAGAGGUGCUUCCCAUACGUUCUGUCAUGCCAUCAUAUAUCAUGAGUUACACGCCAGUCUGUGUUUUUGUUGAAUUAUUUAAAGCCUAGACAUUAGCCUAGGCUAACAUUUGAGGUACACCUUUCAGAUAGUGGAUAUACACAUGACAUAAAGGCACAUUGUACGCAACGCAGCAACAGAUAGUGAGGCUUUUUUUUUCUUUCCUGUUUUCCCGAAAUUCGGCGUCGACGUUUCAAAACAAACGGAAACACUGCCGGCGGUUCACAAGCCCGAGCGCCGCGACGUGUCACGGCCAGACGGCGACGCGUGAAGCUGCGUGCGCCCCGCUCCAUGCGUGCCCGUCAGCUUGAAAGGGAGAGCUGCGGAUUGCAGGAGAGCGUGCAAAGCCCUGGGGACAGGGGCUGUAUGAUACCAUCGGCCGGAACCAAAUUCCUUGUGAAAUCCUUCCGGGCCUGCAGAGCCCGCCAUCGCCACGCUGCCACAUCCCGCCGGCGUGCACUUCCGGGCCUGCAGAGCCCGCCAUCGCCACGCUGUCACAUCCCGCCGGCGUGCACUUCCGGGCCUGCAGAGCCCGCCAUCGCCACGCUGUCACAUCCCGCCGGCGUGCACUUCCGGGCCUGCAGAGCCCGCCAUCGCCACGCUGUCACAUCCCGCCGGCGUGCACUUCCGGGCCUGCAGAGCCCGCCAUCGCCACGCUGCCACAUCCCGCCGGCGUGCUCUAGGACCCUUCGCUGUCCUCCUCACUCUGCUCACUCAGGUACCUACAGGCACCGUUUUAAUUUUUUUUCCUCCACAGAUGAAUUCUUCGCAGUAUCUUGCACCGAAGGGCCUUCUAGAAUGUUCUCUAGUAAGGGGGUAAGAACUCCCUGCUAGUGUGUGUCAGGCAUUGUGCUGCAGUGGUGAAGGUUAGGCUCUCCGUGUGUGUAAAUGAACAGGGUGCACGUUCUCCUGUAUGCCGUCUAACUUGGCAAGCACGGCUCGCUAUUGUGCCCUCCGGAGGACAUCAACAAACAUCAGCUUGUUCCUUAUUGUGAGCUGGGAUCAAUUAGGUUGUCCUGCGCUAAUUAACCCUCUAAUCAAUCUUAUUUGUUCUCCCAGUGGAGCCCACAAAGGCUUGAGGCACGGGCUUCCAGUAAAGAUCGCAGUGAAGGACGUGCUUGGGGGCCGUCACUGGCCACUUACACUGGGAUGUCUCCCAGCAGUCACUCUCUCCCGGCUUCUUUCACGUGAGUCUGAUGUAUCGUACGCAUUACGGUCAUAAGCGUGUGCGGGUGACGCCAUUAAUAUGCUAAAUAAAGAAAACGCUUUUAUUAUCAAAUUA